GAUGAACGCUGGCGGCGUGCUUAACACAUGCAAGUCGAACGAAGCAUUUAAGACAGAUUACUUCGGUUUGAGGUCUUUUAUGACUGAGUGGCGGACGGGUGAGUAACGCGUGGGUAACCUGCCUCAUACAGGGGGAUAGCAGCUGGAAACGGCUGGUAAUACCGCAUAAGCGCACAGUACCACAUGGUACAGUGUGAAAAACUCCGGUGGUAUGAGAUGGACCCGCGUCUGAUUAGCUUGUUGGCGGGGUAACGGCCCACCAAGGCGACGAUCAGUAGCCGACCUGAGAGGGUGACCGGCCACAUUGGGACUGAGACACGGCCCAGACUCCUACGGGAGGCAGCAGUGGGGAAUAUUGCACAAUGGAGGAAACUCUUAUGCAGCGACGCCGCGUGAGUGAAGAAGUAGUUCGCUAUGUAAAGCUCUAUCAGCAGGGAAGAUAGUGACGGUACCUGACUAAGAAGCUCCGGCUAAAUACGUG
rnacentral:rRNA from 1 species